UACGUAGGGUGCGAGCGUUAAUCGGAAUUACUGGGCGUAAAGCGUGCGCAGGCGGUUUUGUAAGCCCGAUGUGGAAGCCCCGGGCUCAACCUGGGAAUGGCAUUUGGGACUGCAAGGCUUGAGUGCGGCAGAGGAGACUGGAAUUCCUGGUGUAGCAGUGAAAUGCGUAGAUAUCAGGAGGAAUACCGAUGGCGAAGGCAGGUCUCUGGGCUGACACUGACGCUCAUGCACGAAAGCGUGGGGAGCAAACAGG
rnacentral:rRNA from 1 species